rnacentral:rRNA from 1 species
UAUUGCACAAUGGGGGAAACCCUGAUGCAGCCAUGCCGCGUGUGUGAAGAAGGCCUUCGGGUUGUAAAGCACUUUCAGUAGGGAGGAAGGUAGUGUAGUUAACACCUGCAUUAUUUGACGUUACCUACAGAAGAAGCACCGGCUAACUCCGUGCCAGCAGCCGCGGUAAUACGGAGGGUGCGAGCGUUAAUCGGAAUUACUGGGCGUAAAGCGCAUGCAGGCGGCCUGUUAAGUCAGAUGUGAAAGCCCGGGGCUUAACCUCGGAAUUGCAUUUGAAACUGGCAGGCUAGAGUCUUGUAGAGGGGGUAGAAUUUCAGGUGUAGCGGUGAAAUGCGUAGAGAUCUGAAGGAAUACCAGUGGCGAAGGCGGCCCCCUGGACAAAGACUGACGCUCAGAUGCGAAAGCGUGGGGAGCAAACAGGAUUAGAUACCCUGGUAG